UACGGAGGGUGCAAACGUUGCUCGGAAUCAUUGGGCGUAAAGCGCACGUAGGCGGAUUGUUAAGUCAGGGGUGAAAUCCUGGAGCUCAACUCCAGAACUGCCUUUGAUACUGGCGAUCUCGAGUCCGGGAGAGGUGAGUGGAACUGCGAGUGUAGAGGUGAAAUUCGUAGAUAUUCGCAAGAACACCCAUGGCGAAGGCAGCAAACUGGUCAUCAACUGACGCUGAGGCGCGAAAGCGUGGGUAGCAAACAGG
rnacentral:rRNA from 1 species